CCCUUGGAUGUCCUGGGCCGCACGCGCGCUACACUGAUAUUGCCAAUAUGUCAUUCUUAUCCGAAAUGGAUUGGGUAAUCAAGUAAUGAAAUUUCAUGCUUGGAAUCGGUAAUUGCAAUUUUAUCGUGAACGAGGAAUUCCUAGUAAGCACUAGUCAUCAGCUAAUGUUGAUUAUGUCCCUGCCCUUUGUACACACCGCCCGUCGCUACUACUGAUUGGGUGUUCAAGUGAGAUGCUUAGACCCUUGUUGCAUGGUUCAUUAUUGUGCUCCGAAAGGAAAAAGUUUCAAGCUUGAGUGUCUAGAGGAAGUAAAAGGCGUAACA
rnacentral:rRNA from 1 species